rnacentral:tRNA from 1 species
GCCCCGGUAGCUCAGAGCGCACGCUUGGUAAGCGUGAGGUCCCGGGUUCAAUUCCCGCCCGGGGCU